UACACCCACACCAGCCACUUCCCCAGCUCUCCUCCUCCUCCUCUGCCUCCUCCUCCUCCACUCCCCCCCUUUAUUACCCUUUGUGUCAUCCUCCACAGCUCCAGGGAAGGCACUCAAAAGUGGGGGGCAGGAAAGACAAUUAUCAGCUUUCCAAAUUUCUACGGAUAUGAAGAUUUACACCUAGUCAUCAGUGGGACCCCAUGAAGUCAGCCAGAAAGCCUAUAUCCACUUACGUAUCUUUGUAAAAUUUGCUGGAUUUUGAAAGUGUGCUUGUGAUCGACCCUUUGGAAUUGGUUAACCUACCAGGGUUGUCCGUGGAGGAGACUGAUUCACCUUCCCCCUGGAGCCAUUAACUGCCUAUAAACUCUUCAUUGAUGAGAGAGCCUUGGAGAUGUCCACUUCUGCCUCUGUAAGAUAGAUAUUGAAGGCUGUGUGGUUUAGACAAUAUCUAAAGAAAUUAGACACUCAAGAGCCAAGAAAAUAAAUACAAGAUAUCAAGAGCACAGAGUAUUUUCUUCCGUCAACCCACAGAACCCAGAAACUCUUCUAAAUCUAUCAAGCACAGAGGAAGGACCACCUUGGCAGAUGGCCACAGAGGAUGUCAACAAUUUUUUGGAG